UCAGUGUUUUAGCCGUGGCACCUGCACUCAUUUUAUGACUGGGGGUGCCAUUCGUUAUAUAUGUUCAAUAUUUGAGAAAAAUACUAGUACACAUAUACGAUUUUACUUGAACGACCGGGUGGCGUACCACCCCCGAGCCCCUACAUAGAUCCGCCCCUGAUACAGGAUUGGACAAGAUGAUUUCAUGCUGAAGCAUUGCGCACCCUAGGAUAUGUUGUAAACCACUAAGAUUAUACAUGUAGAUAUUGAGAAUUGUACUACAAAGUGUGGCCCAGGUUUUCCUCUCUUACGAUGUGAAAGAUGAUAUUGAUCACCUAAAUGCAGAGAUAUAGAUUCUGCAGCAGAUAAACUUGAGGAGAAAUCAAAUGAAAACUCAAAGAAGAUGCAAAGGGUCCUACAUAUAGAGGAAGUUGCAACAAAAAAUGCAAAAAAUGGAGCAAUUUCUAGAGGAAGAUGAAGUAGGUGAAAUUACAUGUUCUGGAAGAUAUAAAUGCAAAAAAUGGUACAUUUGUACCAAAAUGUAUCCAAAUAAUAUCCAACAAUUAGCAUGCGAUGUUAUUUAAUUAUAUAUUCGAUUUGGUAAUUAUUUAUACGCAUCGAUUUCUCUUC